rnacentral:rRNA from 1 species
UACGUAGGCAGCAAGCGUUGUUCGGAAUUACUGGGCGUAAAGAGUGUGUAGGCGGUGCUCUAAGUUCGGUGUGAAAUCUCCCGGCUCAACUGGGGGGGUGCGCCGAAAACUGGAGUGCUGGAGCGCGGGAGAGGAAAGCGGAAUUCCUGGUGUAGCGGUGAAAUACGUAGAUAUCAGGAGGAACACCGGCGGUGUAGACGGCUUUCUGGACCGUAGCUGACGCUGAGACACGAAAGCGUGGGUAGCAAACAGG